rfam:Anopheles gambiae M scf_1925490801 genomic scaffold, whole genome shotgun sequence.
GGUAAGUAAUGCUCUGCAAAUGGGGUAGGAGGCGAUGCCUCGUCCUCAUACCCAACUCCUAUUCCGGCACGUCCACGUCGUGCAGAGCGGUAACAUGCGUUACUAGGGGUGCAAGAGCUCUUUUUGAGGAGGAGCUCUUUUUGCUGCACUAGUUGCAUCAGAUGGUAACGCAUGGCUAAGCCGGAAAGG